UACGUAGGGGGCAAGCGUUGUCCGGAAUUAUUGGGCGUAAAGAGCGCGUAGGCGGUCCGGUAAGUCGGUUGUGAAAGUCGGGGGCUCAACCCUCGGAUGCCGAUCGAUACUGUCGGGCUAGAGUCCGGAAGAGGAGAGUGGAAUUCCUGGUGUAGCGGUGAAAUGCGCAGAUAUCAGGAAGAACACCAAUGGCGAAAGCAGCUCCCUGGGACGGUACUGACGCUGAGACGCGAAAGCGUGGGGAGCGAACAGG
rnacentral:rRNA from 1 species